AAACUUUCAACAACGGAUCUCUAGGCUCUUGCAUCGAUGAAGAACGCAGUGAAAUGCGAUACGUAAUGUGAAUUGCAGAAUCUCGUGAAUCAUUGAAUCUUUGAACGCAUAUUGCGCCUUAUGGUAUUCCAUAGGGCAUGCCUGUCUGAGCGUCA
rnacentral:rRNA from 1 species